rnacentral:lncRNA from 1 species
UGAAUCCCAACCCCAUGGAACAGUCGUUGGGGUCCACCUCCAUCCUGACCCCAUGGAAUGGUCCCACUGAAUCCCAACCCCAUGGAAUGGUCACGGGGGUCCACCUCUAUCCCGACCCCAUGGAAUGGUCCCAUUGAAUCCCAACCCCAUUGGGGUGGUCCCAUUGAACCCCGACCCCAUGGAAUGGUCAUUGGGGUCCACCUCCAUCCCGACCCCAUGGAAUGGUCCCAUUGAACCCCGACCCCAUGGAGUGGUCCCACUGAACCCCAAUAUCAUGGAGUGGUCCCAUUGAAUCCCAACCCCAUGGACUGGUCAUUGGGGUCCACCUCCAUCCUGACCCCAUGGAAUGGUCCCAUUGAAUCCCAACCCCAUGGAGUUGUCCCAUUGAACCCCAACCCCAUGGAGUGGUCCCAUUGAACCCUGACCCACUGGAGUGGUCAUGGGGGUCCACCUCCAUCCUGACCCCAUGGAAUGGUCCCAUUGAAUCCCAACCCCAUUGGGGUGGUCCCAUUGAACCCCGACACCAUGGAAUGGUCCCACUGAAUCCCAACCCCAUGGGGUGGUCCCACUGAACCCCGACCCCAUGGAAUGGUCCCACUGAAUCCCAACCCCAUGGAGUGGUCAUUGGGGUCUCCGUUGUGUGGUCCCAUUGAAUCCUGACCCCAUAGAACAGUUGUUGGGGUCCACCGCCAUCCCGACCCCAUGGAGUGGUCCCAUUGAAUCCCAACCCCAUGGAAUGGUCAUUGGGGUCCACCUCCAUCCCAACCCCAUCGAGUUGUCCCAUUGAACCCCAACCCCAUGGAGUGGUCAUUGGGGUCCACCUCCAUCCUGACCCCAUGGAAUGGUCCCACUGAAUCCCAACCCCAUGGAGUGGUCCCAUUGAAUCCCAGCCCCAUUGGGGUGGUCCCAUUGAACCCUGACCCCAUGGAGUGGUCAUUGGGGUCCACCUCCAUCCCGACCCCAUGGAAUGGUCAUUGGGGUCCACCUCCAUCCCGACCCCAUGGAGUGGUCCCAUUGAAUCCCAACCCCAUUGGGGUGGUCCCAUUGAACCCUGACGCCAUGGAAUGGUCAUUGGGGUCCACCUCCAUCCUGACCCCAUGGAAUGGUCCCAUUGAAUCCCAACCCCAUUGGGGUGGUCCCAUUGAACUCCCACCCCAUGGAGUGGUCCCAUUGAAUCCCAACCCCAUGGAGUGGUCCCA